rnacentral:rRNA from 1 species
GAUGAACGCUGGCGGCGUGCCUAAUACAUGCAAGUCGAGCGAACGGACGAGGAGCUUGCUCCUCUGCGGUUAGCGGCGGACGGGUGAGUAACACGUGGAUCACCUACCUAUAAGACUGGGAUAACUUCGGGAAACCGGUGCUAAUACCGGAUCAUAUUUUGAACCGGAUGGUUCAAUAGUUAAAGACAGUUUUCCUGUCACUUAUAGCUGGAUCCGCGCCGCAUUAGCUAGUUGGUAAGGUAACGGCUUACCAAGGCAACGAUGCGUAGCCGACCUGAGAGGGUGAUCGGCCACACUGGAACUGAGACACGGUCCAGACUCCUACGGGAGGCAGCAGUAGGGAAUCUUCCGCAAUGGGCGAAAGCCUGACGGAGCAACGCCGCGUGAGUGAUGAAGGUCUUCGGAUCGUAAAACUCUGUUAUUAGGGAAGAACAAAUGUGCAAGUAACUAUGCACGUCUUGACGGUACCUAAUCAGAAAGCCACGGCUAACUACGUG